rnacentral:rRNA from 1 species
UACGUAGGGUGCGAGCGUUGUCCGGAAUUACUGGGCGUAAAGAGCUCGUAGGUGGUUUGUCGCGUUGUUCGUGAAAUCUCACGGCUUAACUGUGAGCGUGCGGGCGAUACGGGCAGACUGGAGUACUGCAGGGGAGACUGGAAUUCCUGGUGUAGCGGUGGAAUGCGCAGAUAUCAGGAGGAACACCGGUGGCGAAGGCGGCGAUCUGGGAAGAUACUGACGCUGAGGUGCGAAAGCGUGGGGAGCAAACAGG